rnacentral:rRNA from 1 species
UACGUAGGGGGCUAGCGUUGUCCGGAAUCAUUGGGCGUAAAGCGCGUGUAGGCGGUCCGGUAAGUCCGCUGUGAAAGUCGGGGGCUCAACCCUCGGAUGCCGGUGGAUACUGUCGGGCUUGAGUACGGAAGAGGCGAGUGGAAUUCCCGGUGUAGUGGUGGAAUGCGUAGAUAUCGGGAGGAACACCAGUGGCGAAGGCGGUUGCCUGGAGCUUUGCUGACGCUGAUGCGCGAAAGCGUGGGGAGCGAUCCGG